rfam:Salmo salar isolate Sally breed double haploid chromosome ssa03, whole genome shotgun sequence.
CCCUGUGGCUCAGUUGGUAGAGCAUGGUGUUUGCAACGCCAGCAUGGUGUGUGCAACGCCAGGGUUGUGGGUUCGAUUCCCACAGGGG